ACGAAUGGUUGCUGCUCCUGCGAGUGAUUCUGCAAAGUGAUGGAGGAUUGGAGCUCUUUGAACUCCAGAUAAACGAGCAAGCUCUCUUGCAGUUGGUAUGUAGUAUUGCUGGCAUUUUUAACAAUAAUAUCUUAAAAUAACAUUCUACAAAAAUUAGAAAGAAUCUUUGUAAUCUUCAACAAACAUAAAGUUUGUUCAUCCUUUGAUCUUUAAAUAUAAUUUUACUAAUAUUUUCCCAAACUUCACUUGAUCAUGUAUACAAAAACUCUUCUAUAAGGUGGAGAUGAGAACUUAUUUUAGCAGCAAACUUGGUUUUAUCGCCGUGUCAGCCUCCCCUAACUUGACCACUAGAAUUCUUUGCCCAAAACAAACCAGCAUCUUCUUGUUUUAAUAUAAUUAGCAUUUAGAAAUCUAAAACUUGUACAUCUUACUCACCUGGUACCAAAUGCAGACUGCUGUUACUGGAAUAAAGAUGACGAAUACUUCCCAUGCGACCUGUGACAUGACUGCAAUUGUCCCAAGAAGCUGAAUAAUGGAGAAGGCGCACCAACCCAACUUGGUUGCCAUUUCCAAGUCUAAAACACUUUGGUCUGUGGAUACCUGUUCAUGUAAUAAUAUGUUCUUGAGUGAUUGAUCCAAUGGAAUUGCAUCAAUGAAUAAACUGAAUUUCAGCCUUAAGUUCUUUAGGUUAUGGCUAGAAUUAGCUCACUGUGUUUUUUCAUGGUAUUAUCUUGAUUUUCUUAUUCUGAUACUUUUCUGUGGAUUAACUUAUGAGUUACACAUUCAGAUACCGCAUGACUGUACAGUGAAAGAUCCUACUUGCUUUAUGCGGUAAUGAGAUAUAACUGAUAUGUAUCCUCUGACUUAUCAUUUUAGUAUCUGUCUUUGAUCAGUUUUCCUUCUCAGAGGCAAAUUGCAGUAGUGGAAAAACAAAAGAAGAGUUGUUAUCAUGUCUGGUUUCUUACUAGUUAAUUCUUUUUGACAUUUAUCAGCGAUCUAAUGGUGAAGUACGUAGCUGAAUCCACACUUCUUCAGAUCAAGGGAAGUAUACUACAGCUGAUCUGCUGUCCCCAUGUCCAAUCCCAAUCAGCUAAAUUUGAGUUACUUACGCG
rnacentral:lncRNA from 1 species